CUGCCCUUAAGGAGAAGCCCCAGGAGUCUGUGGCUUUGCUGCUCCAGGAUUAACAUCCUGUUCUGGGCUUCAACUUUCUUUUUUCCUCCUCCCCUUUUCUCCUUUGGCUUCUCUCUCCAUUCCCCAAGAUUUACUGUUCUAAAUAUAACUUCCAACAGGUGUGCAGCCAGGACAUGGAAACUGUGCCCAGCUGUCCCCCACACGUGGACACUCUCCAACUGGCCUGCUGAAAUUCUAGGCUCCAGCACCCUCAUCGGGUGAGGAUGGCCCUCCCUAGGUCCUGAAAGUGAGGAGAGCAGCUUCUCUUUCCUGAGGUAUGGGAGCGGGUGUGCAAGCUAUUGGAUCCGAGGGACCAGUUCAUCCAGCAACAGAAAAACCACUCAGACGUGGCCAGAAUGACCCACUGGAGAGAGCAUUCACCUUGAAGAAUGGCAGGUGCUGGAGGAAGACACUGUCUGUGUAGUCUAAAGUCUACAGCCCCCACAGCCUAAACCACAGCCACCAACAGCUCUGCCAGGCAACCUCUCAUCUCCAAGGCACACAUGAGGCAGAGAUCUAGAGGCUCAGACCUUUCCAACAUGCAGCUCUUUGAACUGGCUACCAGCAAAGCCUUGAUGCUUCCCACCGUGGCCUCUACAAUGUAUCCUGCUUCUAUGACAACUAUUUCCACAUCGGUGCAUCCUACCACAUCUGAUUAAAAUAAAUCCUGAGGACACUUCAGAAUUACCAAACUAAAUAAGAAGCCCCAACCACAGGAAGAGGACACAUGAAAGCAGGGCAGUCGGCAGCCACUCGGACAGCUUAUGUCAGGUGCCAACAAUGAGUGGGACUCUCGGACAUCCUUACAAACAUUCAGGGCCGAUAACAACACCUCACUGCAGUUAUACUAGAGAGUGCUAAAUUAUACUAAGGAGUGCUAAACUGAGCCCAGUCAAUCACAGAAGCAUGAAUUUCUGUCUAAACCUUUAUGGCCUGGGAGCACACACGCUACAGAUGACCAAAGUGAGCACGAUGGUGUCACUGCACAAUGACAUUUCGUUGUAGGAUGUGUUCCUAUAAGAAAAGAUCACCAUGAGUGGUCCUGUAGCACCCAACUGCAGUGCAAAGUGUAAGGCAUGGGCAGCAUCAGGGACUGUGUUAGAAAUACAGAAUUCAGCAGCUAGGGGAUAGUCAGUCAGUAACAUGCUUGCAAUGCAAGCAGGAGAGCCUGAGGUCAAUCCCCAACAGCCACAGUUGUAAUCCCCACACUGGGGAGGUAGAGACAGGUGGAUCUCUAGAGCUCACAGUCCAAACAGCCUAAUCAGUGAGCCCCCAAGCCCUAGUGGCAGACCCUGUCUCAAAAUACAUGAUGGGGAGCUGAAGAGAUGGCCCAGCGGUUAAGACCACUUGUUACUCUGCCAAGGGACCUGUGUUUGUGUCCCAGCACCCACAAGGUGGCUCAUGAACAUCUGUAACUCAAGUUCCAAGGGAUCUAACACCCUCUUCUGGCAACCAUGGACACCAGGCACACAUAUAGUACAUAGACAUACAUGCCGGCAAAAUACCUGUCUUAGUUUCUAUUACUGCGACUAAACACCAUGACCAAAAAACAAGUUGGGGAAGACCACGUUUAUUUGGCUUACACUUCCAGAUCAUAGUCCAUCAUUGAAGGAAGUCAGGACAGGAAUUCAAGCAGGGCAAGAACCUGGAGGCAGGAGCUGAUGCAGAAGCCAUGGAGGAUGCUGCUUACUGACUUGCUCGGCCUGCUUUCUUAUAGAACCCAGGACCACCAGCCCAGAUAUGGCACCACCUACCAUUGUCUGGGUCCUCCCCCAUUGAUCACUAAUUGAGGGAAUACCUUAGGACUGGAUCUCAUGGAGGCAUUUCCUCAGCUGAGGCUCCUUCCUCUCUGAUGACACACAAAACCAGCCAGUAUAAUACCCAUAAAAUAAAAAAUAAAUUAGCCAAAAAAACAUUUUAAAUUAAAAGGACAUAAGAUGGGGUCUGACCUGAUGGCUCUGAGUGUGAAUUGCUUGCUUUUGAGAUUGAUCCUGGAACCCAUGUAAAAAUGGAAAGAGAGAAAUGACUCCAAAAAGUUGUCCUCUGCCCCUCCACACACUACGACAUGCAUAUUCACAUACACAUGUGUCUCUUACACACACAAUAAUAAAUAAAUAAACGCAACCAAGGAAAAUGGCUUCUGAGAAACAUAACACUUGAACUGACCACUGGCCUUUACAUGCAUGCAUAAACAUGUGUAUGUACAACUAUAAACAUACAUACAUGAACCUGUAAAUACAUGAACACAC
ensembl:lincRNA